rnacentral:rRNA from 1 species
UUUAUCGGAGAGUUUGAUCCUGGCUCAGGACGAACGCUGGCGGCGUGCCUAAUACAUGCAAGUCGAGCGGACAGAUGGGAGCUUGCUCCCUGAUGUUAGCGGCGGACGGGUGAGUAACACGUGGGUAACUUGCCUGUAAGACUGGGAUAACUCCGGGAAACCGGGGCUAAUACCGGAUGGUUGUUUGAACCGCAUGGUUCAGACAUAAAAGGUGGCUUCGGCUACCACUUACAGAUGGACCCGCGGCGCAUUAGCUAGUUGGUGAGGUAACGGCUCACCAAGGCAACGAUGCGUAGCCGACCUGAGAGGGUGAUCGGCCACACUGGGACUGAGACACGGCCCAGACUCCUACGGGAGGCAGCAGUAGGGAAUCUUCCGCAAUGGACGAAAGUCUGACGGAGCAACGCCGCGU